UAAACCUCACCCCUAGUGUUUUAUUACAAUAGGUUGGUGCUUUGGGUGUUGCCGUUUACUCUGGCUCGCCUUAAAUGACUAAGUGGAAUGCGUCAUAAGUUCUCGCAACCCUCCACUCUAACACACUUUAUA
rnacentral:misc_RNA from 1 species